UACGAAGGGGGCUAGCGUUGCUCGGAAUCACUGGGCGUAAAGCGCACGUAGGCGGCUUUUUAAGUCAGAGGUGAAAUCCUGGAGCUCAACUCCAGAACUGCCUUUGAUACUGGAGAGCUUGAGUCCGGGAGAGGUGAGUGGAACUGCGAGUGUAGAGGUGAAAUUCGUAGAUAUUCGCAAGAACACCAGUGGCGAAGGCGGCUCACUGGUCCGUUACUGACGCUGAGGCACGAAAGCGUGGGGAGCAAACAGG
rnacentral:rRNA from 1 species